rnacentral:rRNA from 1 species
CCCUUAGAUGUUCUGGGCCGCACGCGCGCUACACUGAUGCAUUCAACGAGUCUAAAACCUGCUCUGAUAGGGGUGGGUAAUCUUUUGAAUGUGCAUCGUGAUUGGGAUAGAUGAUUGCAAUUUUUCAUCUUCAACGAGGAAUGCCUAGUAAACGCAAGUCAUCAGCUUGCAUUGAUUACGUCCCUGCCCUUUGUACACACCGCCCGUCGCUCCUACCGAUUGAAUGAUCCGAUGAAUAUCAUGGAUUGAGGAUUAUAGCAGGUUCGCCUGUCUUGAUCUUCGAGAAGUGAAGUAAAUCUUAUCGUUUAGAGGAAGGAGAAGUCGUAACA